UGAAUGGGACGGGACCUUAAUUAGUAUCGUUGAAAACACCUGUGUUUACUAUAGCCUGUCAAAAUGAGGACGGUGAUAAAGGUAUAUUAACAUAUAUAUUUUUUAGCGUUUUAUAGUUGUCUCCUGACUCAGUUGCAUAUUUAAUAAGACAACAAAGUGGUAUCGUUCUUCUCUGCGUAUUCAUCAACAUGUCGAAUAACCAGCAAAGUCUGUGAGUGAGCCUGAAAUAUUAAUGUUAAACGUAUCGGUUUAACGCGAGCUUAACAAAAGAUGGACAAGGAGCCAUUCCCUGUCGUCCAGAAAGAAAUACCCCAUCUUUUCUGCUGACUGUCCAAAAAAGAAGAGGACACUGUUGCUCCAAAAAAACUAUCCCCGGACUCUGCAACCAUGUUGGGAUCAACAGCUUGUUGCUGCCCAAACCCUGAACAUCUGUGCAGAGGGAUGGGACGUGCGGAGGGUUGAUGGCAGGCCACAUGGGGAAGGCCUCUUCUCCCUCAGUCUGUCAGCCCACCUGACUGCUGCUGUGGCAGGCCUGCCCAAGGCAAGACCACAGGCUAGGGCCUCCUGUGGGCCUCCAGCAGAGCUCACCAGCCUCCCCAAGCCCAUUAGAGCACCCCUCCUUCCACCUCCGCCCGCGAGGCCCCCACCCAGCCCUGCAGCCCUCUGCCCCAAGAUGCCAUCGCUCUCUGUCCUGCUCGGCUCUACACUGAAAUAACUCUAUUGUUUUCCGCUGUUUGCCAUGUUGUGUCUGUAAUAGGAGCGGUUUGGGGGCAUGUUUUUUAUUUUUAUUUAUUUUUCUUCCUUUGCUUGCCUUGUCCUCAGGCUGCAAGGUUUCAAAUCAGACUCCUGAGAGGCUCAGACUUCCAGUGGUGUGAGAGUAUUUUUAGGGAACAAAUCCCAGAAAGGCCUUUUUACAGUUACUGCACUAAUGUGGUGUGACUGUCAAAGCUUCCACUUGUGUCUGCCGUUCCCCUGAACGGUCCAACAUGGAGGACUGUCGAAGCACUUAACCUGGAUUCACUGUCUCAUAGUAAAGACAAUAGCGGGAAGUAUUUCUGUUGUAUAUUUCUCUCUUUGGUUCUUACAUCUUUGAUUUAAUGAGAUCGUCUGGGGAGCAGCUGAGAUUCUCAGAGGCAAGGUGAGGUGUGUGUGUGUGUGGGGGGGAGGGUGAUCAGAUAUUCUGGAUAUCCUGUGAUUCUCUGUCUAUUUGAGUCUUUUUGAUCUAAAUGAAACUACAGGGCGCAGAACGGACCCUGCAUGUGAAUCAGACCCGGCGACUUUGCAUACGAGCUGCAGAAAUACCAGGAGAGCAAAUUCAUGUUCAACCCCAGUUGUGGAUGCAAUUUGUGAACGUGAGCUUCUGAAGCGCACUGUAAUGGUUCAAUUUAUAAUUAAUCAUAUCUGAUUUGCCAGAUUGCCAU